UUAAGACUUCAUGCAGAAAGGGUGUCACAUCCUCCAGGCAAUUUGACUAUGUGUAUAAAAGCAUUUGCUACCUAGAACUCUUCUAAUCACUUUUCUUAAACUCUUCUGCUUGGUGAUCCAGGUGUGGAUCUGUCCCAUGUCUCCCUACGAGUGCUGCCUGUCACCUGGGCUGAUAUGCCCUGAGCCAUUUGCCCUCACCUCCAAUGAGACCUAUGUCAUAAAAUACCCUGAUACAGUAAUGGACAUAGUGGAGCCUGACCUGCCACCGUAUUCUGUGAUAUAUCCCGGCCCAACUCUCACCACUUUUCCUCAGCAAACCAUAGUGGGAUCUACUGCCUUGUUUGAUGUCAGAAACUUGCUUGGAUCCAGGGGAUUUAAUGGGUUUAGGGAACUUGCAGACGAACCUAAAUCCUGCAUGGAUAUCUGUGGAUAAAGUGAAAAGCAGUACUGAACAAUAAGAAAGAUCACGACUAAGUUUAUGGAUAAUGGAUUAUAGAAGUGCUGAGUUCCUACAGUUCCCAGUAGAGUCAAUAAAGCAUUGGCUUCCUGGCACUAGACCUGCAUGAGGACUUGAAUUUCCAAACUUCAAGAAACUGAUUUUUCACUAUUGAUCUUACUCAAAAUUAGAGUGAAAUAAAAAAAAAAAAAAAGAAAAGAAAGAAAAAGAGAAAAUUCUCCAAGAAACAAGAUAGAAAAACAAAAAUACGUUUUUGGUUUGAAAAAAAUAUCUCAAUAAAUUCAAGUUUUUAUGCCAAUAUCGACUUUCUAUUAUCAAUUUGUCCUGAAAUGAAAACCACCAAAUAUUUCAAAAUUAGACGACUAAAAAUCUUGGGUUCCAAAACCAAUUUUAUCAAAAUCCACAUUCAUUUGUAUAUUUUGUGGAACCAGCAUUUACAAUUAAAAAAAAACAACAAAAACCAAAAAAACAGCGCUACUUGGCAUUUUUUAAGAAUAGGCAUUUUGCAAGUCUCUCUUGUGCUUUAUUUCUGCUUAGAGCCAUGAUGCAAUGGUUUUCCAGCUUAUUUUUCUGCCUAUACCUCAUUUGAUGCAAGCCAGGGCAAAACCAAAUUCCAACUUCAAGCAAUUGUAAUAACUGGUAUCUUCAUAAAAUACCUCAGCAAAGAAGAACAUUCUAUGUAAAAUCAUGGAACUGGAGAUUCAUUAUAGACCCUCAUGAAGUCCUGGAACUCUUCUGAUUAUAUCCUAUCCAUCUGAUUUUGCACAUGUAUAUUCAGCUUCUCAUUCCCAUUAAAUAUUGCCAUGCAGCAUACA